CCUUUGUGGUUGUAUUCCAAUUAACGAUUGCAUUAAGCUAAUUUAUUUUUUUAUUUGCAUAAUUUUGUACUUAAUGAUUUCCAUGGUUUUUAAUGCUGGGCAAAAUGCUAUUCACAUUUCUUGCUGGCAAAAGGUAGAGUUUGACUCUCCUAGAAGACUGCAGGAGGCAUUCAUCUUUUAAAUACGUUGAGCCAUCUCAAGCACUGUUUGACGUUUCAAGAAAUACUGAUUUUUCAAAACUAUCAUUAACUUUCAGGCACUUUCUUGACUUUGCUCCCUAUUUGGAACUGUUUUUGGUGCUCUGUUUGGCCCUCCAAACAAUGGUUGAAAACUGGACAAAGUUGCCCAACUUUGCACUGGACAAAGUUGCCCACUCCUUUUAAAAUAUGGUCUGCUGGGAAUUGAAUCCAUUGCAGAAAGGGAAAACAUAAUUAAUUUGAUUGAUUUAACUUAUGCAAAAUUUUAUAAUGUAGUGUAUCCUUGUUUCCCAUUUUUAGUGAGCUGGAAUUUUCAUUCAUCCACUUGGGCCUUUAAAAUAGUCACUACUGAGAUUAUUGUUAUCUAUAUAUAUAAUAAAAGUGAAAUCGGAGUAUGUAUCAGCGUUUUGAUUGGCCUGGCGGAAUAUGUGCUCGCGUUUUGAUUGGCCGCCACUAUCCCAGGCCACUGAGACCAACAGGAAUGACGGAUCUGCACCAAACUUGGCACACUUCAUCCCCACGAUGCACUUUAUGACCUGCUGCCAUUUGGGGGAGGAUGGACCACAGAUGAUGGGAUUUGCAGUACUUUCAAACACUUUAACUCCCACAGACUACUGCAAUGCCCACCAAUGAUAGAAAUGGACCAAACUUGGCACACAGAACUCCUGUCGACCCCUUUACAUCCUGAUGUAUAUUGGGGCAGGAUGGACCAAGGAUGAUGGAAUUUGCAGUACCUUCCCUCACUUCUUGAGACCACAGCAACUGCCACAAAUCACACAACUGAACCCAACCAGGCACACAUAUCCCAAAUGACACACUUCACAUGCUGCAGCAGUUUGACGGAGGGUGGACCAAGGAUUAUGGGAUUUGCAGUACAUUCAUCCAAUUCACCUCCCACAAACCACUGUGAUGCCCAUGAAUGACAAAACUGUAUCAAACUUGACACGCAGGUGCAGGGUAGCCCACUUUACAUCCUGGUGCAGUUUGGGGGAGGAGGGACCGUGGAUGAUGGGACUUGCACUAUCUUCACUCACUUCCUGGGACUACUGUGACCCCCACCAAUGACUGAUCAAGACCAAACUUGGCACAUACAGCCACCAUGGCCCGCUCUACAUCUUGGUGAGGUUUGAAAGAGCUUGGACCUUGGAUGAUGGGACGUGCAGUAUGUUCACUCACUUCCCGAGACCACUGUCACCCCCAUCAAUGUCUCAUCAAGACCAAACUUGACACAGACAACACCCAGGACUCACUCUACACCCAGGUGCAGUUUGGAGGAUGAUGGACCAUGGACGAUGGGACUUCCAAUACCUUCACUCACUUCCUGAGAGCACCGCGACCCACACAAAUGACUGAUCAAGACCAAACAUGCUAGUAUCUAUAUAAAAUAUACUCCCAACUUUUUUCCAUUUGAGCUGCAAACUGCUUGCUUUGUAUUUCUAUAUCCAGAGAUCCAGUAUAAUUUAUUACUGUACAUGGCUGUAUGUGCAGUGGCUUUAAUAGGCUUUGUAAAAGCCUACCUGCAUUUUCAGCUUAAUCAUGUUAGUAGCCAUUUUAGUGUUUAAUUACAUUUCCAAUGAUCUUAAUGGGAGUACCACUCAUAGCUUAUUACAUUUUAAAUGAACCUGAAAACUCCAGGUCAUUCUUCUCUUUAUGCAGUAUAAAUAGGACUUAGCUAUUUCAACAUAAGCCAUUGGAAGCAACAAUUAUGUCUCUCUGAAUUAAAGCUAUUUUCUGUAUCCAUAAACAUGUAUGUUAAGAAUCUCAUCAAUUUAUACUCUGAUAUCCGAGAACUAGAGUAGUGAUUUCUCCUUAUUCUGAGAACCCAAACAAGAUGUGAUGCUGAAAUUACAUUUUCAUUUUUCUUUUAAAUUUAAAAACACACAAAUGAACACCUACAAAUUUGACCAAAGUUCUGGCAUUGGACAAGAGAUUAUUUCAUCAUUUCCCUGAUUUCAGUCUGACACCUGUCACAAAAAUACAAGAGCAAGUUCUUACCUAGGUAAUUGUAAGAAGCAUUUGGUUACAAUAAGGAUGGCAAUUAUACAUGUCAUACACUUCUUUUUAUGUUCGGUGUGUUUUGCUAAUAACCAUAAUCUGAGCAAACUAUUCAAGUUUAAAUCUAAUCCUCUUUCUCAAAUGUACUCUUUUACAUUCAAAAAAUCCAUUGUAAUGCUUUAUAGGCAGGAAGCACCAAACUCUCAAGAAUUCUGGUUGUGCUCUUACACUUGUCUUUUCAUCAUUGUUUUUCCACAGCUGCAUAUUUGUUCGACCCAAAGUGAAACAAUGUGUUGCCACUGUACAGCAUAGAUUAACCUUGGACAUUUUUGACUUUAUUUUUAACCAUUCAUUUGUCCUAGCCCUCAGACAGUACUAGACACACAAUCCCUUAUCCCCAAAUAUAAUAAAAUGACUACUAUGUAUGCAUACCCAUAGCUUUGCAAGGCAAGAGUUGGGUGGGAAUGGUAGCAGAGACAAAAAUGAGCUUGAAAAUCCUCAUUUCUUUUUUUUUUAUACAACUAAUUCACACACACACACACACACACACACACCACCCCUGUGCAUGUCUAAAAUAACACCUCAGACUUGCAUGCAUGUAAAAUUAUGCAUUAUUUCCUUCUCCUGGAAGCAGUUCACAGUGAAAAGUAUAGUAGGAAGAGAGUGGUGUGGGCAGACAGGGUGAGUAGUUCAUGUAGUAUCAAGUGUAUUUUUCUGUAGUGGCCAACAGCAUUAGGGUCUCCAUAAUGCCGAGUGUAAUAUUUUCAGAUUGGUAUCCUUAAUAUUUUCCAUUCUGAGCUAUUUAAAGCAAGACAACAUGACAGUUCUUGGCCUCAAGAAUUUCAUUUUUAAAGCAAUUCCGAAGCUGAUAGAAUGCUGGCACUGAUUCUGUUUGUAACACUGCCUUAGCAUUUUCUGAAUGUCAUCAUUUUAGACACUGAAAUGAGCCUUUUUCUAUAUUAGAAAAUAAAGCUAGCAAGGCAGGAACACACAGCCAACUUCAUGAUAAAACUGUUAUAAAUCUCACCUCUUCAAAAGAAGUUCAUGAGACUGUACAGUCACAAAAACAAAAUAAUUAUUCUUUCUUUGGUGAUAGAAGAAAGACUUUGGACUGUAGCCCAUGUUUUUCAUAAACUCAUAAAAUUGGAAGAGACCACGAUCCCAUGCAGAAAUACACAAUCAAAGCAUUCCCAACAGAUGAUCUUAUUUCAUUCAGACAGAUUAACUUCAAUCAUUUAAAAUAAUCUUAAUUAUUAUUCAAGUUAUAUAUGGAGACAUAUAAUAUAACAGCUUGCAUCCUAAAAUAAUUGUAAUGUAAUGAAGCUCACAGAGGAAAAGUAUUUCUGUCCCAUCCACCUUCUCCUCUUUUGCAGCCACCUGCACUCAACCUCAUGCUAUUAGAAAGAGAAGAAGUCAUGUAAGUAAUGUGGGAUGAUACAUAAAGGGUGGUACCUGACUUCCAUAGCUCUAGCAAAUUGUCCCUUCUCCCAAUGGCUUCCCAGCUUUCUACCAUGUUGGGAGUAGAGCUAACAUCAAAAUCCAUCACGAUGGUUACAUGGUCCCUGAAAGAUGUGUCUGGGGUGACAUUCUUUGUAACCAAACUAACAUAUUUAUUUACUUACAGUAUAUACUCAUGUAAAAGUCAAAAGCCCCAGUGCAACCUCUGGGGGCCAUCCACCCAGCACUGUUUCCCUACCCAGACAUUUAAAUAAGCCAAAAGUGACACCAUGGUAGAGAAAGUAGAGAAAGUUGCUGUUUCUUUUUAGUUUCCCCUGGGAUGAUUUAAGCUCUUCCAUUUUUCCACUCUACUCAGAUAAGGGGAUGUUUUUUUUAAAUUAAGAGUUAAGGUACAGCAAUUGCAUUGAUCUAUGGAUAAGCCAAUUCUGGAGUUUUGGGUUGAUCCUUUGACUAACAACGUAGACAGCAAGUGAUAUUGGAAGUGGGGGUGGCAGCACACAAAAAGGAAGCACUGGUAGAGGGCCUUCCCAGAAAGGCCUCAAUAUGUGUGACCUGUUGGGCUUUUACUGGAGGCAUCCAAAUGACGUCUCUGCUAAAAACAACUUAAUUCGGGAGAAAGUAGGUAAACCCUGCUUUGUCCUGAAAUAAUUUGAUACCCCAUUAGAGCCAGGUCUUCCUAAAAGGCCCAAGUCUAAUGAGGUAUUGGGCCUGUGGGGACUCAUUUCCAGGAACUCCUGGGUGUGAGUCUCCACAACCAUUUUGCACCUCUUGGGUUCCUGGAGCCCAAAGGUGCAAGAUGGCACCCACCCCCACCCCCAAAGCCCUUCCCCCAAAGCCCUUAAAAUUAAAAAGCCAUUCUAGGUGUUUAAAGGCCCUCCCGGUAGUUACCAGAAGGGCAUCUAGACACACCCAGGAAAGCCCAGGUUAUUUUGGGGAGGAGGUAUGGGGACAAAAACCCAUGUCAAUGUGGGUUUUUUAAACCUGCUUCAUUGAGGGUUUUUCUCCUGUCUGGGAGCAGCCAGAAAGAAAUCACAACUAUCUUUAGGGAGUGACUGGAAUAGGGAGAGGGGUUUUGCCCCAGCUGGUUCAGGAGGGCAUCUCAACCUUGUGCAGAUAGUCUUUCAAGAAUCAGUGAAUGCACAUAGGAGAAAGGGACCUGGUAUUUUCUUUUCAUGAAAUCUUACAAGCUCACAUGUCUUAAAAUCAAAGUAGGAAGGUAGGUAGGAAGAAGAAAAAGAUUUUGUUGUUGUUUGUAUUAAUGUUCAAACCAUAGUCUGCAAUUGUCCCAAUUUCACAGGAACAGCCCCAGUCAAUCUUCUGUCAUCCCAGUAUCUCAGAUACUUUUAUAAUGUUCUAAUUUCUCUCUUCUCCUCCUCCCACAUUCUCACUUUUUCCUCCACUAUAAUUGUGACAAUCUGAGUUCAAAAUGGGAAAAUAAUAUUCACUCAUCCCAGUGGCCAAGGAGAUGAGAGAGAAUUUUGCAUUUGUCUCUAGCAUGAUAUUGGCUUUUUGAGCUCCCGAAUCACACUGUUGACUCAUGCUCAUCUACUAAGACUGAUUCAUUUCACAUAUAUUGUUGUCAAGCUAGAUGUCACCCAUUCUUUCUCUGCAUAUUCUUUCUGUCUUAAGUAUAUUACUGUACAUUUCUUCCUCUCAACAUUAAUUUUGUUAGUUUUUGCCCAGCUCUUAAAUUUGUUAAGCUCGUUUUGGAUUCUGAUCCUGUCAUCUGAAGUAUUAGCUAUCCCUCCUAAUUUGGUGUCAUCUGCAAAUUUGAUAAACAUGUCCUCAAAACCUUCAUCCAAGUCAUAAUAAAGAUGUUGAACAGAACUGGGUUCAGGACCAAACCCUGUGGCACACCACUAGUCAUUUCUUUCCAGGAUGAUGAGGAACCAGUGGUGAACACCCUUUGGAUUUGGUUGCUGAACCAGUUACGAAUCCACCUAAUACCAUAGUCUAGCCCACAUUUCAUUAGUUUUUUUUGCCAGAAGAUCAUGGGUUACUUUGUCAAAUGCCCCACUGAAAUCAAGAUGUGCUAUAUACACAGCAUUUCCUUUACCUACCAAGCUUGAAACUCUAUCAAAAAAGUGAGAUAAAUUUAGUCUGAAAUGACUGGUAUUUGAGAAACCCAUGUUGACUUUUUGUCAACAUUCCUUUCUAAGUGCUUACAGAAUACCUCUUUAAUGAUCUCCAGAAUUUUUCUUAGUAUUGAUGUCAGACUGACUAAGUAGUAAUUAUUUGGGUCCUCUUUUGUCCCCUUUUUGAAUAUGUGAUCAACAUUUGCCAUCCUCUAGUUUGGUGAAAUUUCUCUAUUCUCUUUUUUAAGUUACACUUAACUGCCCUUCAUAUUUAAUAUUUUGGGGAAAAGUAAUUCAACUCUCCACAGAACUGGUAGAGAAAAGAUGUGAUUAUGUAGCAGCUUAUUGCUAAUGGUCCAACCACUUAAAAUAGAAAUCAAAUAUAGGCACUAACUGGAAAGAGGACAUUCUAAUUAAAAUCUCAAUGGCAUUUUUGAUUCUAUACUGGCUAAACUAGUACUGUAAAUGUAUUUUUUAAAGAAAAAAUCAUUUCAAUCAAUGAAAAAUGAUAGAAGAAUAAAAAUAAAAUGGGAUUCAAAUGGUUCAUAACAAAAUAAUAAUAAUAAUAAUAAUAAUAAUAAUAAUAAUAAUAAUAAUAAUAACUUUAUUUUUAUACUCCGCCUCUAUCUCCCCAAAGGGGACUCAGGGCGGCUUACAUGGGGACAAGCCCGAAUAAAAACAAUAGCAAUAUAAAACACAACAAUAGACAAAAAACAUGCACAAUUAUAAAAAUUAUUAGGCUUCUUUGUGAAAUGUGAGUGAUUGUGGGAUGGCAAAUCCAGGUGAAAUGGUGUGCUGCUGAAGUGUCUUCAGAAUAUAAUUUUAGGGGUUAUUUUCCAGCUGUGCAUUUCAGGAUGAUGACAAUGGAGAGAAUAAAAAUGAUAAUAAUACUUCGAGUUUAAAAUUUCUUCAAGUAUAAAAUUUAUCCCCACAUAUAAUAAACAUCUCUAAAAAUGGGGUGCAUUGUAGAAUCACAGAUGUGCUCUCUCUUUCUGUCUCUGUCUCUGUCUCUGUCUCUCCAUAUAUAUAUAUAUAUAUAUAUAUAUAUACACACACACACACACACACACACACACACACACACACAAUUUGGGCAUGGAAAUUAAUGUGUGUCUCACAAUUGAUUGUGUAUUAGGGUUAAAGAAAUAUAGAUGAUGAUGAUGAUGAUGAUGAUGAUGAUGAUGAUGAUGAUGAUGAUGAUGCUGUAGUAUAUCAGACUCUGGCAUUCCACACUCUAUGUACUGUAUUUCUGUGAUGCCAAAUCCUGGACUGAUGCCAUGUUGCAGUUUGAAAAAUGUGCCACUUGGUAUAUCUCUACACGUAACUGCAACAGAGAGUGAACCAAAGUUGGCAGAAGAUUAUGUACUGCACUUAAGCAUAAUAUAUUCUUUAUUAUCCAUUUUCCAUAGCUCCAGCCAAGAAUGUUGGGAAGCCCUCUUUUUUGCCUCCAGUUCCCCUCCCCCGUGGUUCUUACAUACCAUUACUUUAAUUCUUUCCUUCCUCUCUGUUUCACUCUAAAAGAUCUUAUCUCAUUUGACUUCUGUGAUGACUGUUCCUCAAAUGUUGUUUUCCCAUAUCCCCCUAUCAAUUUUCUUCCAAUAGUUACUCUUAAGGCCCAUAAUCUUUUAAUUUAUCUCAUCUUUGCUGGUUAAGUUAAUUUACAGUUAAAUGCUUUCAGAAAUCCUUUACUGACUUUACAGUUUGCAGUUAUUGCAGUCUUUGAGUUUCAUAGUCAACUUAUCUUAGCUUCAACUUUCAUCAAAAAGUAUGUUAAAAGGCAUAUUUUGCUUCCCUGUAUCCAAGUCUGUCUCUAUCCAUUUCCACCUCCAACGGCAUAUUAUCAAUUUCACAGGAAGGAUAUAUACAAUUAGAAUUCCUUGGUAGUUCCUUGUAGUUUAUUCAAGCCUUUUUCCAUUGCACUUCAAGACUUAUGGCUCCAAUGAACAUCAGCAGUUUUAAUUUAAAAUAUAUGGCAGAUACCUUUUGUGAAGUGUAAGGUAUCAACAGAUAUAUGAAAACAUGGACUAUUAUUCAUAGUUGUAUACUUCAGUCACAGAUAUAAUCACGUGGUCAAAAUAAUUUUCUAUCAGUUUACUAUAUUUUCCAGUAUUUCACAGAUAAAAUCCAGGACUUGUGUAUCCAAACAAUAUUGGAAUGUGGUAUAUAUAGUAAAAAUAAUGAAUAACACACAAGUGAGGAUAGGCGGUGGUGGUUUGCUUUUGCAGUUACCUACUAGGAAAAACAAAACCAUGUUCUACAAAAACCAAAUGCAGAGGUAUAGAGUGAGUGGUGCAUGUCUCAACAGUAUUACACAUUAAAAGGAUGUUUGGACUAUUGUUGAUCCUACAUUGGGCAUCUGCUUGUAGUGUGAUACUGCAGGAAAAAAGCGAAUGCUAUUUUAGCCUGCAUUGGUAGAAGCAUAGUUUCCCAGUGAAAUGAAGUAAUAGUCCCAUUUUAUUCUACACUAGUCAGGCUCAUCUGGAGUGCUGUGUUAAGUUUUAGGCACUUCAUUUUAAGUAGCAUGUCAGAGUAGUUUCAGGGAAAGACAAUGAGGGUGAUAAGAGGUAGAACAAAACAUAUGCGGAAAAGUUGAAGGAGCUGGACAUGUUCUGUUUAGUGAAGAGUGGGCUUAGGGGUCUCAUGAUUGCACUCAAAAUACUUCAAGAGGAGAGGAUACUACAGGGAGAAGAGGAGAGCCUUGUUCUCUGCUGCUCCAGAGGAUAAGACCAGGUCUAAGGGUUUGAAUUUACUGGAGAGUAGAUUUUGUUAGAACAUUAGAAGUAACAUCUUGAUAGUCAGCAUGAUUCAGCAGUUGAACCAAUUGCCUAUCUGUUGAGGAUGCUUUAGUUGGAGAUGCUUUGGUUAGGGUAGGUAGUUGACCCAUGAGGUCUCUUCCAACUCCAUGAUUCUAGCACUCUGUGAUUUAUACAAGCCAUACUAUUUGACCAUGUGAUUCGUUUUUGCAGAUUCUAACUGGCUGUAAGCAGCUAUCUGGCUCUUGAUCUUUCACCAAACCUUUUAGCUUGAGAUUCCAAGAAAUGAACCUGCAGCCUGAAUUCAUGAUCUCCACAUAACCUCCUAUAAGUCUGCUAAAUCCAUUCAUCUGUAUUGUCUAGUUUGGUGCUUUCUAAACACAAAGAAAAGAGUGAAGUGGGGUACAUUUCCGAAGAGGAAUAAAAUCACAGGCUUAGUGAAGAAAGCUUUGAGGAUUGGGCAGUGACAGAGGGAGGGGGACAACGUCUGGCUUCCCAGCAUCAAUGCCUUGCAGAACAUCCAUUCAAAUGAAUGGAAUGUAAAAAUCCUGUCUCUUGUAUGCCCAACCACAAAGCCCCAGCAAAUCAGAGUGAUAUAUCGUCCCUGGUUAUAUAAUUUCCAUUUGAAGUGGUUAAGGCUAGCUCUUCAUCUUAAGCAGCAUGAAUAAUUAUCUCAGAUAAACUGUAAUCAAAUGAUCCCCAAAGAAAAGUCUUCAUUUGUGGUGUUUGUUCUGUUGUCAAGCUAUUCCUUUGAUCACUUAUCUCCUUUUAUCAGCCAACGUUCCUUUGUUAUGUACUAAUUUGGAGGCAUGUUCCUUCUUUGACCCAAGCUUUUAAAGUAAAACUAAACAUCACCUUAUUUUCCUUCCAAUUGUGUUCUAAAGUUAUGUCCUCCCCCCCCCUGAAAAAAGUGAAAUAUCAAUUUAUUUAGAGCAGGGGUCCCCAAACUAAAGCCCGGGGGCCACAUGCGGCCCAUUGAAGCCAUUUAUCCGUCCCCUGCAGCGGCGGCUCCAUCCUCCUCCACCAAGGAAGGCAUGUGCAGCACAAGGAAGGGAAAGGUGCACGCCUUUCCCAUCUCCUCCCUCGCCUGGUGUGCACCUUCCAAAGCUUUGCUUGUUUAUAAUAGUAUUUUAAAUAUGAUUUUAUUCAUUAUUAAUUAUUAAGGGAUGCUUUGCUAGUGCUUUUGGUGCACAAAGGCAGAAGGGGGUUGGACUUGAUGGCCCAAGGGGUCUCUUCCAACCCUCUUUAUUGUUUUUAUUAUGAUUAUGAUUAUUAUUAACAUUGAGGCUGUAUUUGUUCCCAUUUUGAUUUUUACUUCAAAAUAAGAUAUGUGCAGUGUGCAUGGGAAUUUGUGCAUAGUUUUUUUUUAAAAAAACUAUAGUCUGGCCCUCCAAUGGUCUGAGGGGCCGUGAACUGGCCCCCUGUUUAAAAAGUUUGGAGACCCCUGAUUUAGAGAUUCUGACCACCAAAAUAUACUUUGGGUUUGUCAGUUAUUGUCUAAAGUUUUAGCUUAAGUAACUCUUAUCUUAGAAUAAUUAUUUUCAUUCCGCAGACUAAAAUAAAUACACCUCUGAUACAAGCUGUCAUACUGAACUAAUCUGGAACCAAAACAUAAUGUGAAACAAGAGGUUCUAGCUGUUUUUUCCCUAGCCUGUCUUUUGCUGACCUAGGCAUACACUCUUGCUAGACACAGACGGGAAAGUUCACCUGCUUGUUUUGACAUGCUACCAUGCCGAGUUAUCUUAAACUCCAACAGGAAGCAAGUGACCAGAACAGCAUGUGGCAAAUCAUCAAUGUAUUGCUGAAUCCAUCUCAUUCCAUCUAUGGUGAACAUUCUGUUCAUGUUUUUAUAAUACAAGAAGCCUAGAAUUGCUACUUUGUAUCAUUGUAAGUGGUUUAUCUUGGCUUUUCUAAACAUUAUUUGGCCUGGCAUAUAUUUGUGACUUUAACUGUAAAGAAAAUUGUGCUUCUCACUUCAACUCAGACUCCCUGCAUCUGAUGAAGUAGACUUACAUUUACAAAAGCUAAUGCUGUCAUCUUCUUUCUCUCAGUCUCAAUGGUGCUACCGUACAAGAUCCUUUUGCAUCCCUGCGAAAAUGGUCUCCUAAGUCAGUGAUUCUCAACCUGUGUGUCCCCAGUUGUUUUGGCCCACAACUCCCAGAAAUCCCAGCCAGUUUACCAACUGUUAGGAUUUCUGGAAGUUGAAGUCCAAAACAUCUGGGAACCUGCAGGUUGAGAACCACUGUCCAAAGUGGAAUUGAGUGAACUGAAUACCACUCACCACUUGUAAAGCCACAAAAUGUGAAGGCAGCAUGGUCAGGCAUUUUGGAACACACACACACACACAUUUUAAAUUCACUCCAGGUGGAUGUAUAGGAAGGAACAAAGUUGGUCUCUUUUAAUUAAAUCAAAUGAUUUAAUUAAAGUGGAGCUAAAUCUUCUUCCCAGGCCCUCCCCUGCAAUCCUAUGCAAGGACCCGUCACCAAUGGAUGAAGAGAUUGUUGGUGGUGAUGUACACCUAUAGGAUUUUCACUGAUCUAGUGGGGUUAAUACCACAUACACACACAACUAGUAAAGCUCUUCUCUUCCAGUGAUGGGACACUUCCACUACAUCAUAACCUACCUUUACUGUUAUCUGAUAGAAAUUGUUAAAAGGUAAUGGCUGCUUCAUUUGCUGUGUGAAAUGUAUGUCACGCCCACAUUGAAUACUAACUAUUCUUAAUCAUCCCUAUGGUAUAUGGAAGCAUUCUGCUUUGAAUUUCUGAAUUUCUUCAUCAGCAGAAUACUAAAUUUCUACUUCAGUAGAAUAUUGCAUUUCUACUUGUAGAAUACUGAGUUUCUACUUCAGUAUUCUGUGGUCUCCAGAACAACAGCAGCAGCAGCAGCAGCAGCAGCAGCAGCAGCAGCAGCAGCAGAAGAAGAAGAAGAAGAAGAAGAAGAAGAAGAAGAAGAAGAAGAAGAAGAAGAGUUUUGCUCCUGAACAAACCAAUUUUAUAUUGGAUAUCCACAUUACAUUUUCCUAAUCCCAAAGUGUUUUCUGCCAUUAUCAAAGGCUUUUCAUUCCUACUUUCCAGGUCAUGAUUUUUUUAAUGAAAUGUAUUUUAUUUUGAUAGAUUGUGUUAUUCCAGAACUAGCCAUGAAGGCCACUGCUAGUAAAACAUAACUAUUGUUUAAAAACAAGACAAGACAAACUAGAAUCAGUGAAGAUCAAGCAAAUGAAAGAGGAAUAUCAUCACUCAAACAAUAAAUAUUGAUGAAGUGCUUUCGGAAUUUGAUAACUCCUGAAUAAUGAUAAAAAAGAUUCUGUGGAAACUGCAGAAAAUCAAUUUCUAAAACAUUGCCUGAAUCUAGGUGUGAUAUGUGAUGAGUAUGAGGAGGAAAAAGCAGAAUACAAAGGAGAAAGGGAAAGAGACCUAGAAACUUUUGUGAAAGAGUUUGGAUACAAACUGGGUUAUAUAAAACUAAAAUAAAAACAAAAUGAAUAGGAACAUCUUCCAGAAACUCUUUUCCUUUCUGGAUAAGGCAAAGGAAAUUAUCCGCAGAUUUCAUCAUUAGAACAAUUUCUAAUUUUCAAACUUUGUUUAAUGCACACUUGCAGCAUUAAGAAAAUAUUACUUCUUUGGCAGGUUUACUGCUGGCUUCUGUAUUUUAAAGUAUCACUCCAUCAAUUUUUUCAUCCUGGUUUUUGGCUAUAGCUGGUCAGUUUUGAUGUCAUUCUUCACUUCAGCAGACAAAAUAUGUAAGCAAUCUAAUUACCUAAUUGGGGUGGAGGGGUAAUAAGUUAUAUAAAAUAAAUAAAAUAUCAAGAUUAGCGUUUAUAUAGAAACAUUUAAAUUAUCCGUGAUUGUUUUUAUUAUUAGAAAAUGGGUAUCUUGCCCAACAUUUUAAUUAGAUUAUUGUCUGAAGUGGAUCAAAAUAAAUUAAAUUCUAAAACAGAAAUUCAAUAGUUCCAAAUUGUAAGGUUGUGGUGCAUGUAGCAUUAGUUUGCCAAAGGAAAUAAAAUACAUAGAUUUGAUCAUGGGAAAAGGUUACCUUUUCUUGGAGAAAUCACCUAGAGUUGCCUAGCAAAUGUGGCCAUGUUGGCUGAGAUGUUCUGGGACACAUGGUCCAAAACAUAAAUAUUCCAUGCCCUGUCCAUUUCUCCUUUCAUUAAGCAUUGUAUGCAUCUGCAAUAUAGAAAUAAUGCAGUUUGACACCAUUUGAAUGGCCAUGGCUCAUUGCUAUGGAAUCCUGGGAGUUGUAGUUCUUCUGAGGCAUCAGUGCUCUUGGCACAGAAGUUUAAAGACAUGUAAAACAAUAACUCCCACAGUUCCAUAGCAUUGAGCCAUGGCAGUUAAUGUGGUGUCAAAUUGCAUUAAUUCUACAGUGGAGAUACACCUGUUGUCACAUUGCAAAUAUUCAUUUACUGCCCAGUCAUCUCUAAGGCAAGUUCAGGGUUCUGAGGGGGACCCUUCUUAUAGAAAAAUAUUAUAUGAUCUCCAAUUUGCAAAAGUUUCAUAUUAUGAGUUGGAUCAAAACCUCUGAGAUACAUAGUUUUUGUAGCUUUUAUUUUAGAGAUAUCAGAACUUUAAGACAGGGUUGAGCAAAAUACAGGCAUGAUGAUGAUGAUGAUGAUAAUUUUAUUCUUAUAUCCCACCACCAUCUCCCCAAAGGGACUCAAAGUGGCUUACACACAGUACAAAAGUGCCUAAAAAUAGCACAUAAAAUAAAACACAAUAUAAAAUACAAUUUAAAAAAACAAAUAGGCAUAUAAAACAACAACUUAAAUUCAAUUAAAACAGCGCUCAUCUGGCAGGAAGCUACUGUAAACAUGGCCAGGCUGUAUACAAUAGGCAAGGGAAUGGGAUAAGUGCAAAGAUUCAACCAUGGGACGAGGGCAUGGGAUGUAGUGCAAGAUUGCAUAACAUACAUGAAACUCCCAGGGUCCUUUUGUUGCUCCUGGGGUAAAUCAUGCAAUGUUUUAUUAAACAGUAUUUAUCUCUAGGACAUAUUGGGGGCAUUUGUACAUGUUAGAGCCCUCUUCCCAGUUUCCAGAGUUAAAACAUUUUUG